AAGAAGUCAGGCCGGAUUAAGCCAUAGUACGGUAAGAGCUAUGCUGCCUGUGAGCCCCGUCUAAGGACGUAAAAUGAAGUCAGGCCGAAAGCCACGGCUUGAGCAAACCGUGCUGCCUGUAGCUCCAUCGUGGGGAUGUAAAAACCUGGGAGGCUGCAACCCAUGGAAGCUGUACGCAUGGGGUAGCAGACUAGUGGUUAGAGGAGACCCCUCCCGAAACAUAACGCAGCAGCGGGGCCCAACACCAGGGGAAGCUGUACCCUGGUGGUAAGGACUAGAGGUUAGAGGAGACCCCCCGCAUAACAAUAAAC
rnacentral:lncRNA from 1 species